UUGGAAAUGCUCAUGAGGAUCAAAUUCUUCCUGAAUUCUGGACAAAGGAUUGACCUAGACAAAGUCUAUUCCAAAUGGGUCACAUCAAAAGAUAGACGUUGCAAAGUUUGAACAGUUGAAGUUUGUUGCUUCACAUGUAUUGGUUUACUUAUCCAAGGUUAAAAGGAAGAAGACGUUGCUAGGAUUGGCAUAGUUCCACAUUUCAUGCUUUAUCUUGGUUGUUUGGUGUUGCCUACACUUUCCAAAGGAAAUUGACAGAUGACUGAAGUUUAAUGACCUGAAAGAAAUAAUACAAGAUGGGUGCUUCAUGUGGAAAGGUUUACUUAUCCAAGGUUAAAAGGAAGAA